AUUACAAUCUCUAUAAUUACAGUUAUCUGUGCACAUGACACAUGAUGAAAGAGUUCCUGAAUCUCUUAUCGGAAAUUUAAAUUCCACCAACCAAUUUGAACAGACGCGUGUUCGGUAGCGUGCACCUUUAAAUAACGGUCUACACCCAGCUGUCCCCUAUUUCAUACGGAUCUCCACAUACAAUAGAGGUCCUACAGACCCUUUUGAUGCUUUUAUGGGACGCAUAACUGCAGACGUUCCCGUGCAUAUGGGACGUUCCCGAGACAAUGCCAUUGGACAUCGGUCGUUACAGAAUAGAGACCUAUUCUCGGGCACCAAUAAUAAACGAAUGUACCGAUACAUAUCGAUUAUGACUUAUCCAAUGCUUCGAGAAGUACAUGCAUACUUGCGUAUCUUCUUAUCAUUUCUCUCUCAAGAUGAAAUGCAAGGAAGAUGCGCGCGUAAUAACAGGUUACGCGUAAAAUUAGCCUUGACAUUUUAGUAAAGCUAAUGUCUUCGCGUUUCGAUCAUUUUUCUUGCAUUAAUGUACGUGAACACACAUUGCAUUCGCGUAUAGAUAGUAUACGAGCGCUGCAUAUGUAAAAUAGUGGUCGAAGUCGCGCUUUCUUUCGCUCGACGCAGUCAUAUAAUUUCACUUUCAGUGAAAUUUAUCUUGUAAAUUGCACUCGCUAUCGGUAAAAGUAGCUUCAUAAUUGAUUCUACGGUACAAUUCGAGAUAGUUUUUCGUGUAAUGUAGUGUUAUGAAGAGUUUAUGUAUUGCGUUCAGAAGCUAUCUCGUCCGGAAAACGAAUCCAUUACUAACAAAAUUCCAAUGUGUGACAUCACCGAUUCACGAAAUACUCACUAAAAGGAAGAUCAAGAUUAAAACUUGCUACACUAUGCGUCAUAUGCUUUGCUAAAUCAAUCGAAUGGACUUCCUACUGACACCAAUGCAUCCCCUGAACAGAGAAUGCACCUAGUUACGCUUUGGCGGUUACUCAUGGGGGUACACGUACUGGUAUGCACCCCUCGGAGGCGACAAAAGAGAAGGGGAGGAGCUCUAUUUUCAUACGAGUUGGCUUACGAGCCCGAGGCGGGAAGGGAGCGCGACUUAUGGGACGAAGUCGGAAGCGACCCGAUACGAGUCAGUCGUUCGCGAAGCACCAAUACGUUUAGAUCGAUCGAUCGAUGUGUACGUCUAAUGGAUCAUUGAUUUGGCACGAUAAAUUUCAAACAAUAUCGGUAUCGCUGUACUCAUUGCAACAUAUAACACAUAAAUGCGCAAAACAAUGUGUAAAACCAAAUUAUUUAACAGUUUGGUAAUGCCUCUUUAAAAUUUGUAAUUAAAUUCUCUAUCACUUGAAAGUUGAUAUUUCCAUAUUUUUAGUUACAUGCAAUAAAUCGUGCAGUUUGCAUAGAAAUUGUUUCGAAAGUAUAAGAAGAAAAGAAGGAAAUUUUUAAGGAGAG